AUUUAUAUAUUGAUAAUCAAGAGAUGAUAAAAAAAUGUCCACGCAAACGAAUAAUGCAAAGAUUUUUUUCAAGAUAAGGAGAGGAGAUACAGGUUCGAUUGAAUAUUGAUGGCUGUAAUUAAUAAUUAAUGAGCCACUAAUCCCCCCAAAUCUAUAGAUUUUUUCAAGAUAAGGUGAUACAGCAUGUGACAAUGGGGGAGAUCAUACAAAGGAUAUUUUUGGAGGCUUUUUGGCUGACAAAGCUGGUAGAGACCUAGUAAGACUCAAUCAGCCAUUUUAUCUAUUUGCUUCAGUUGAAACUUGAAACCGUUUAAAUUUUCUUAAAACAAUUUGUGUCUUCUGCAAAAUAUCCUCUUUGUCUUAAAGUGUUAUUCAAGGAUCACUUCGAGGAGACGUGCAAAGCUAUUAUGCCUAGACUUUGAGGUACAACAUUCUAUUGUGUACGAGACUUGUUAGUUUUGCUUCUUGAUUAUGUCAUUAAUUCUUUCGAGAUUUUAUAAGAGAAGCGAUGGUUUUUAAAAGCCCGACUAGAAUUUAAGCGUUUUGGUUUAGCUACACUAAACCCAUCAACCACGUGUUUCAGCCCUUACUCUCAUUAUGUCCUUCGGUUUCUCUGUUUAUAGUAAAGCACUAAAAGUCUCUAAAAUGUAGCUUUCUGAAAUCAAUUUCAAACCAAAAUUAUCACUGGUUGAAAAGAGUUUAUUAAGAUGGAAAAUAAAAUUGUAAACAAAAUAGCUCAUAAAUUUUAUUUGGUGCAAGGAAAGUAAAGAAAAGAAGAACCAAGAUCAUAUCCAAUGUAUUCUCCUAUUUCUAUCUUU